AUACAGUAGCUCUAAUGAUAAAAGAUGAUGCACAGAGGAAUGGAGAAGAUAAACUGCAGGAAGGAAAUGGGUGAUAAACAGGAGUGGAGCAAAAAAUAAAUAAAAUUGUUCAUUUGUUAAUGAUUUGAUGAUUCUUACUUCUUUUUUUUUUAAUCAAAGCAACUCAGAUGAUUUGUGUCAAGCUCAAGCCAAAAAGCAGUAAAUAACAGUAAAACACCAUGUGUGGAACCUUGACAUAACCUUUCCCCUCCAUCCGAGCUUUGAACACCCCAGUGCGUACGCCUCGCUUCCAUUUCAGCCGCACGUCUCAAUAGACCGAUAUCUUUCCCCAUGUCUGGUCGUCCGUCAUGACGAAUCAGCGACAGGGCAGUUCUAUUAAAGCAAAAGUGCCACAAAGUGAACGACACAUGUUAUUGGAUUAUCACGUCAAGCCAGGCGGAAACACUUCUGACUGAUUUCAGGGCAGGAGGAUGUGUGUGUGACAGGAAAACUACCUGCCUGUCAGUUCAAAGUGAUAACCAGUACUCUCUGGAAUGCAGUUUAAUGACGCCGACAGACUCUUUGCUGUGCUUCCUUGACCGAUCCUGCCUCCCAAUUAGCCCAUGCACUCUGCUCAUCACUUUCACCUGGUUUUCCGCGCCCAUCUCCACACCUGUGUCCCGUUUCUCUCAUCAGUCCCUCAGUAUAUAUACCAGUCCAUUUUCCCCAGCCCUCUGCUUUCUAGCAUUACCUUCCCUGCUCUCCCUGAGCUACCUGUUUUAUUGGCCCAGCAUGCUUGUUUUUGGACCUUUGAUCUCCUGCCUGCUCCCAUUUGGAUUGGAUUGGAUUGGAUUGGUUUGGUUUGCCUGAUC